UACGAAGGGGGCUAGCGUUGUUCGGAAUCACUGGGCGUAAAGGGCGCGUAGGCGGCCGAUCAAGUCGGGGGUGAAAGCCUGUGGCUCAACCACAGAAUUGCCUUCGAUACUGUUUGGCUUGAGACCGGAAGAGGUAAGUGGAACUGCGAGUGUAGAGGUGAAAUUCGUAGAUAUUCGCAAGGACACCAGUGGCGAAGGCGGCUUACUGGUCCGGUUCUGACGCUGAGGCGCGAAAGCGUGGGGAGCAAACAGG
rnacentral:rRNA from 1 species